AGUACCUCAAAUGCGCACGGUAACAUUUUUGUAAGAUUCCUCUGACAUCACCGUGUUUUACUGUAGGUGGUGACUCACGGCCGGCUUUUCAGGUUUCUUGGCGCAAGGGUCUAAUUACCAACUUGAUGCAAGAGCAGCAGCAGGUUACAACAGGCUGAGAAACUGCACAGGCGAAGCGCGAGCACCGUGUUCUGCCUGAUGCUGACAGCGAGGCAGAAGCAGCUGGGCCCAGGUCCCGCCCACGUCUCGGGGCCACCGCAGCCGGGACGCGCCGUCACCAUCCGCCUUUCUCUCCGCGGGGCCCCGUGAGCCCUGAGGGCAGGGACGGUCGGAAGAGGGGACCAAGAGUAAAGGCAGCUGGCCCCAGACCGCCACCAAACUGCCAGCAUUUCUACCGCAAAACUACUCCUUUUGGAAGCCAACAACCAUCCCAAGCAAAUUUUCACAUUUGUCUCCAAUUCUGUUAUUACAAACAUUUUCGUUUAUCAUUCCAUUUUUAUAUAUCGAGCCAAAGAAAGUCGGUGUGGAGAAGUCCGGAAGCGACGGCUUGUGGGGCCUGACUGCCAAGGGGCACGGGGCACCUUCUGCGGUGACGGAAGUGUUUUCUGUGUGUUUGGAAUGAUGUCACACGGAGGGUGGUCACACGGAUGCUGUUGCGUGAACAAGAAUAAAGCCUUUGGGCACCCUGGUGGGUGACAGUUGGGCGUAUAUGACUGUUAGCAUAUUUUUCAAAUUAUUUAAAAAUAACAUUAAACUGCUUUUUAAAUUA